UGUGAAGAAACCGAUUUCUAUGGUUAUUAUAGACAUCAGUCACCAAAUAAAACGAUGAGAAAAGUUUUGUUCGAAAAAUUUAAAAAAACGCGGAGGGACUAAGUUUUAAAGUUUGAGAACGCGGGGACUAAUAAUUUCAUUUCCCCCCACACUUAGUAUUUUUUUCCGCUUUCUCUAAAACUUUCGAACCCUACCUCCAGCAGCUCACCUUGUCGACCUCGUCAUUCUCUAAAACUUUCGAACCCUACCUCCUUCUUCAGCAGCUCACCUCGUUGACCUCACCUUGUCGACCUCAUCAUUCUCCAAGCCGCCUCUGACCUGACCCCGAGUCCCCGACGUCAAUCUCUGACCCCGUGUUCCCCUGCCUCGCUCUCUGACCCCGAGUCCCCGAUCUCAUUCUCCAGACCUCUAGACCUCGAGCUUGAUCUAUCAUCAUCUGCACUCCCAGUCCGAUCGAUCGAUCUGUUUGCCUCUUUCUCUCUGCUUUUCUCUCUCUUUCUCUCUCUCUCUCAUUAAGACCGGAAGUAUUUCUGAGACACCAAAUGCCGCCGGCGACGGAGGAACCUAACACGACGGCGUCCUCGACGACGACGACGAUGAUGAUCGACGAGAUUUAUGAGUUCUCGGCCCCGCGCUUCUUCGAUUUCAUCAAGGACGAGACCGACGAGACAAGAUCAAGGCCGAGCUCUGGUUCGACUCCGCCACAGCCUACGCCCCUUCCCAAUGACGAUGGUGGCUGGGGACUACACAUCGAAGGUCACAGCACCAUGUUCAGCACAGCUCUCAGCUAUAUUUGUAUGCGUAUUCUCUGAGAAGGACCUGAUGAUGGGGGCCAAGACAAUGCUUGUCCAAGAGCUAGAAAGUGGAUUCUUGAUCAUGAUGGUGUCACACACAUGCCCUCUUGGGGAAAGACUUGGCUUUCGAUACUUGGUUUGUUUGAUUGGUCUGGAAGCAACCCUAUGCCCCCAGAGUUUUGGAUUCUUCCUUCAUUUCUUCCUAUGCAUCCAGACCAGCAGCUCUGAUUGAUAACUUGAUAAAUUGGAGGUGUUUUUGUAAACUGGUCCAAAUACUUUUAGCCUUGGAGAUGCUUUAGGAAUUGCGCAGCACCACGAUGCAGUCACAUGCACUUCUAAACAGCACACAACAAGUGACUAUGCAAAGCGCCUGUUUAUUGGUGCCUCUGAGGCAGAAGCUGUUGUCAGUGCUGCUCUAUCAUGCCUAACUACAGGUAAAUCAGGAGAGCAAUGUAAGGACCCAGCAUUGACUUUUAGCCAGGUUCUGGUGCAUACAUUUUUCGCCCCGAGUCCUUUCCAAAAAUUGUGUCAAGAUCAGUAAACUUGAAGGUCUUUCGUGGACCACUAGUCGAUGAGAUUCACCAAGAGUUCAGUUCAUGGAUCUAUCAGGUCACUAGACUUUACAGGGACAAACAGCACACGGAAGUUGAGUUCACUAUCGGUCCAAUUCCCACCGAAGAUUAUACUGGAAGAGAGGUCAUCACUAGAAUGACAACUAAUAUGACCACAGAGAAGGUGUUCUACACUGAUUCAAAUGGAAGGGAUUUCAUAAAACGGGUUCGAGAUUAUAGAUCCGACUGGUUCCUUUUGGUUAACCAACCUGUAGCAGGAAAUUAUUAUCCAUUAAAUCUUGGCAUAUUUACCUCGGAUAAGAAAUAUGAGUUUUCGGUCCUGGUAGAUCGUGCCACUGGAGGAGCUAGCAUUAAAGAUGGAGAACUGGAGCUCAUGCUUCAUAGGUUUGAGUUUGGCAUACUGAAUUAAGCAUUCAGGUCAAUUGUGUAGAUACUUUUCACGAAGAGAAGAGCAAACGUGAAAGAAGAAAAGAAAACAAAGCUUUGACUAUGGAAUUGUUGGCUGUGGCAUAUUCGUCCUUUGUAGCCAAAAUGGAGGAGAUUAUAUAUAGGUUGGUCAUGCUGGAAUUUUCAGCCACACAGAAGUAUUCUCUUGCAUCUAAUUCAACUUACAAUGUGGAAGAGGCUGGUGAUCUGUAAGGCAGAAAUGGAGGAAUGUAUAGAUUUGAUAAUGGAAGAAUUAGAGAGUUUGUAAGAGUUAGUGAAAAAGUUUGUGAACCAGCUUUUAUGAUAUGUAAAACGAUAGCAUAUUCGGCAAACAUUAUAAGAUUAUGAUUACUACUCUUAUCGCCUAAA